rnacentral:rRNA from 1 species
AUGGACCAUUCCAUCCCUUUUUCCCGUGCAUAUGCAUCGGACUCGGAUGACGAUGGUCCCGAUGAACAAGUUGAUGCGGAGGGGUUCACGGUGAAGGAGGCCGAAGCUUUCGAGAAGGUAUUUGGUCGGGAUCAUCGGACUACAUUGUUCAAGGAUGUUAGUCUCGCGGAUGAAGCUGUGGUAGAUGGUGGCCAAUGUGUACCUCUUGGGGUUAGGCCAAGCUCUCAC